rnacentral:rRNA from 1 species
CUUAAAUUAAGAGUGACGGGCGAUUUGUGCAUACCUGCUCACUUAUUCAAUUAAAAUUUCUAUUUAUUUAUUUAUUUUCAAGUCCUAUUUUUUGGGGAAAUUUCACGCCCAUUUAGUUUCUUAAUUAUUUGUAUCCCACUAAGCUCUAAAACAUUAACUUUGUCUUGAUUUGUUUUUUUUUGUUUUAAAAUUCCAAUUCUUUCAUAGAAAAAUAUUUUCAAACAAUGAUAUAAAAAUUUAUAGUCCUAGUUUUUGAUUUAUCGUGGGCUAUCUAUUACGGAGCAGGAUCCCCUGCCUAGGGCUAGUACCGCCAUUUACCACAGUUUUUGUUUAUUUAACUACUUACAUGUCUUCAAAAUAAAA